AUUCGGGCGUAAUAGCUGGGAUGUCAAACGUGCCGUGCCAAAGAUCGAUGCUUCCAUUUGCUCCCCAUUUCUGGGAAUAAGUUCCACGGUGGUGUGCGGAUCGGAUCGUUGGCAACUGGACGGAUUUAAUGGAGCAUCAAGGCACAAUGACCUUUGUUGUGGAUAAGCUUGGAAUAAGUAUGCAAAUACAUUCGUGCAUUCAAUUUGUUGUCAUAGAGAUUGAUGUGUAACAAAUUUAUUAAAUUAUAUUCGUAAUACAGCAACAAGGCGAUCUUCUCGCUUAAAACUCAAUUGAAAAGGGGUAGUACUUGUGGUUGAGGCCCUUGAUCAAAUUUAAUGGCACCACCCGUUCGCCAGUGUGAUAACCAUCGAGAACGGCCAUUUCCUCGGCUGUCAGCUCAAAAUCGAAGAUAUCGAAGUUCUCAGAAAUUCGAAUCAAAUAUGUGCUUUAUAAUGCGACUCUUGAGAUCAGUAUAUUGUUAUUUUCGACCACAGCAACACGUUCGUUUUGGACAGGAAACUGUGAGCAUUUCGGAGAGCCGCGAAAUGACAAAUCAAAACCACAUCCGAAAUUAUACGAUUGAUCAACGUCGCAAGGCACACGAAAGAUUCGAGAAACUUUGAUAAAGAGAUUUGGAGGAGUGCAAAUAAUUAUUUUCCCAGAUUCUCCGCCCUGUAUUAAAGGUCUUCAAUUGGAGCAACUCCUCCGGCGUCAGGUGAAAAUCAAAUAUAUCCAGAUUCUCGACGAGAUGCGCUUGCUGGGCAGCUUUUGGAAUAGGUACCGUGCCAAUAUCGAUCUGUGGAUUUUUAGCCAAUAAAUAUCUUCAUCACUUUACAA
rnacentral:sRNA from 1 species